UCAUUACAAGAGAGUUGCCUGGGCCAGUGU
rnacentral:piRNA from 2 species